rnacentral:rRNA from 1 species
AUACGGAGGGUGCAAGCGUUGUCCGGAUUUAUUGGGUUUAAAGGGUGCGUAGGUGGGACAGUAAGUCUGAUUUGAAAGCAAGCGGCUUAACCGUUUGAUGUGGUUGGAAACUGCGGUUCUUGAAUGGGUUGGCGGUAGCCGGAAUGGGUCAUGUAGCGGUGAAAUGCAUAGAUAUGACCCGGAACACCGAUUGCGAAGGCAGGCUACUACGACUUAAUUGACACUGAGGCACGAGAGCAUGGGUAGCGAACAGGAUUAGAUACCCUGGUAGUCCAUGCCGUAAACGAUGAUUACUGGCUGUUUGCGUUCUAACGUGAGUGGCUGAGCGAAAGCGUUAAGUAAUCCACCUGGGGAGUACGCUGGCAACAGUGAA